rnacentral:rRNA from 1 species
AAUUCCAAUAUAUGUUUUCUGCUUUAUGUGCGCAUCCUCUACCUAUUAAGUGUUAAUUAAAUUAAAAGGUUUCUUUUUAAAAUCUUCUAUAACUAAUAAAAAAAUAUGGAAGAUUUUGUUACUUUGAGUAAAUUAGAGUGUUCAAAGCAAACAGAUAUAUAGCAUUUGUGCGUUUGAAUACUACAGCAUGGAAUAACAAAAUUGAACAGGUCAAAACUAUGUUUCUUUUUUUUUAUUUUUGGCUUAGUUACGAUUAAUAGGAGUAGUUUGGGGACAUUUGUAUUCAGAUGUCAGAGGUGAAAUUCUAAGAUUUUCUGGAGACAAACAACUGCGAAGGCAUUUGUCUAAAAUACUUCCAUUAAUCAAGAACGAAAGUUAAGGGAGUGAAGACGAUCAGAUACCGUCGUAAUCUUAACCAUAAACUAUACCGACUAGGUUUUGGAUGAAAGUAAAACAAAUAAGGAUAGUCUCUUCGGGGAUAGUUCUUAGAUUUCUUCCUUCAGUACCUUAUGAGAAAUCAAAGUCUUUGGGUUCUGGGGCGAGUAUUCGCGCAAGCGAGAAAGUUAAAAGAAUUGACGGAAGGGCACCACCAGGCGUGGAGCUUGCGGCUUAAUUUGACUCAACACGGGAAAACUCACUAGUUUAAGACAAGAGUAGGAUUGACAGAUUAAUAGCUCUUUCUUGAUUUCUUGGAUGGUGAUGCAUGGCCGUUUUUAGUUCGUGAAUAUGAUUUGUCUGGUUAAUUCCGAUAACGAACGAGAUCUUAACCUGCUAAUUAGCAGUAAGUACAACAUAUUUCUAUGCUGAAUUUGUAUUUGGAUAAUUUAAAAGGUUUUUUUGCCGUGCAUAUAAUGAGUACGGAAAAGAUGCAUACUGCUACCUUGUACCUAAUAAUACUUGGCGCCUAUGCAUAUUUCCAACCCUCUAUUCCCUGUACCGCAUAAAACUGGAUUAUGAUGCCAUUUCACUUUUAUGUAGAAAUGUAUUUGCUUUUACAAAAAGCUUCUUAGAGGAACGAUGUGUGUCUAACACAAGGAAGUUAAGGCAACAACAGGAA